CAUAUGUAUCCCAUCAAAUGUUACAUGUAUUUUGUUGGAUAAAGAGAAUGAAUGAAUUUGAAAUUAUUUCUUUUAAUUUCAAUAUGAUGAUUUGUAAUUACAAACNUUGGAUUGUCUGGAAAGUGGAACAUAAAGAACAUUAACUAAUUUUUUAAUCCUUUUAUUGGGUCUCUAAACCUGACCGUUCGAUAAGUAUUCCCAUUAUAUGUUUGCGGAUGUGCAUGCAGAAACUUCAUUAUAUGGAUUCUACAACGCAUGGUCAUGUUUCAACCAUGAAAUUGGGAAGAAUGAAUGUUAUAAUUAUCCUGGAAAAGGAUUCUUGAUUUUAUGUCUUUAAAAUAAUUUGCUGAGCUGUUCAUUUAACUGUUUCUAGGAGUUUCAAUGGGGAGGAUUCUUUUAAUAUUAAGCUCCAUCCAUAUUUUCUCUCUGAUACAAAUGAAUGUCACUGUCACCAUUUCCUUUCUUGUGCCCAUGUCAUUAUGUUAGGGCUGCAUGGAAUUUUCCUUAUGUUAUUAAUAUUUANGCAUUAGGGUUCUUGACAACUUGAAAGAUUAUGCUGUAAGAGCCCUUGUGAAUGCUGUUGAUCAUCUAGGAACGGUUGCAUACAAACAUUAGAUGUCUCAACCAUGGAUUUGAAGGUCGCUACCAUAAAUCAGUUCAUGUUCAUUAAUGAUUGGGUAGACACCUAAUUCUUCAAUUAUUGGUGUGAAACUGGAGAUCAUAGGUUGGUUUGCUAGAAAGUAAAUGUUUGUUUGUGAACGUGAACUGUCACUGGGCAUGACUGCUGGUCCUGGUUUUAGGAUUUGAGUGAUAGGCUGUUUUUGGUGCUGUGUGGGUGUAUACCACGAGAAUUAUGUGUUAAGUUAUGUGUGCACAUUAGAGGGUGGUUUACUUGUUAUAUUGAAAUGCUGCUUGUUGUCAAUGUAUGAUCCAGUCACUGUUUUAUUAAAAAUUAAUGCUAGUUUGAUAAGUAAAUGAGUCUUAAUUGGUGGUAGUGUUGUUUGUUUCUUGGAAUGUAUGUAGGCAGUGCAUGUUAGACAGAAUAAGGUCUCUUUUUGAGUGGGUAAAGGCACACUUGCUUUUNGUUACUAUAGUUAAUUUGUUAGAUCAUUAUCUUAUAAUUGCUUUGCUGUUUUUGUUUCCUGCUCACAUGUUGAUCGAUUGGAUGCAUCAUUCCCUUAAUUGUUGAUCUCAGUUUGGGGUAGUCAGAUUAUAUUUUAGUUGAACUUGAAUGGCUUGCAUGAAUUGAAUAUGUAUUGCUUGAUAGAUCAUGAAACUGAUGGUUAGGAAAUUAUUUCUUGGAGUAAAAAGAAACUGUGAGUGUAAGGGCAGCAGUCUGGUAGGUGAAAUCCCUCAUAGUUUCGUUGCUUUUGACUUUUACUGGUGUUGGAAAUUGAGUCUGAAAUUUCUGGUAUGAUGAUUGAGUGUAAUUUGCUUGCUGUCGCUGUUCUGGAAACUGUUUGGUUGGUUGCAGUAGUGUAGAAUUAUGUGUACCUUGGUGGGUUAAGACUUGUCAGGUAUGUCUGUGAAUAAAGGGAGUUGUAGUUUCAUGAUCAAUGUUACUUGCAAUCAAUACAUGAUCAAUGCACUGUUUCAUUGAAAUAAAAUUCUGGUUUAUUUAAGUAUGUGAAUUAUAGCUGAUUGAAUACUUGAGCGUGUUUUGAUCAAUGUCCUUGACAGGAGUGAAACAGUUUUGGGAUUUAAGAUAAUUGGAGUAUGUUAUGAUGUUUUCUAUUGUGUAGAGACUGGUUAUUUAUGCUAGUGGCCUUUUUGCCUAAAGUGAUGGAAGGAGAGUUGGGUGUUGGAAUAAAUUGAUUGAGUUUGUUUUUUUGUAAUUACCUAUGUUCUUGCCUUUAAUUCCUUGCUCGUGAAUGUAAUGUUGUGAUGGUAUGUGUUUCAUAUGUGAUGGAUGGAAAGUGCGUGUAAUUUUUUAUUGUUAUAACUGAUGCUUUAGAAAGAAAGUUGGGCUGAUUAGUGGUGAGCGUUGCGUGCUCAAUGUAGAUCCAUUAUAUUGUUUGUUUUCUUUGUUCAAGCAUGGAUUGGAAGCUGGCACAGGUUGUGAAAUCUGAUGCGUGUUUUGAAUAAGAGUAGAUGUCUGAAAAUAUUUUCUUGCGUAGUGGUAUUUGUUGGAAUUACUUUAUUGUAGAGGCAACUCUCUGGAUUAAUGUUGUUGGUGCAGUGAUAUUUUAUGGUUAAAAGCAGUUUCGGUAUAGUAAUCUAUGCUUUAAGUCUUGAAGGUGCAGUGUUGUUUUGAGUAUAAGUUGGGGUGUUUUCGGUGAUCUUUGUUAUGUGCAGCAUUAAAAGUAUAGUUGGAGUAUAAAUGUGUUGGUUGCUUUCGGUGCUUGGCAUAAAAUGGUUUGUGAUCAUUGUUUAAUCAAAGAAAAACAAAAGAAAAUGGGGAUUGGGGUUAGGGAGGAAUCAUGUAUCUGUGGUGAGAAGUAGUUUUCACGGUGCACAAAUAAAUGAAGAGUGGAUUUAGGUGCUUUGGUCCAGGCCAGCUGCCGGAGUUUGACAAUGCAAACUUUGGUAGAAGCUGCUGGAAUUGGUUUGAAGUGAUGGACUAGAGUAGAACCAGCUGCUGGAGUCAAUGCUUGUAACGGUGCAAUGUGUCUUUUGAUGUAGUAGUCAUUAGAUAACUAUUUGAAUUAUUUUAAGUCUUAGAGAACCUUAUUUCAAGAGCUAACGCAAGAAUAAGAGUGGUGAGGCAGUGUUAAUUGGUUGGACAGUUGGUGAGAAUUCAGUUUCCUUUUGGCUUGACUUGGUGCUUACUAUUUUGGCUAUUUUAGUUGGUUAAGUUAAUGGUUUCUGCUGGAAGCCGUCGCAUGGGAAUAACUAGAGUGUGGUGACUAUUUUGGGUUUGGGGAAAANCGUUUAUCCUGCGUUGUGAUUGUGUGUUUUGUUGAAAUGUUAGGAAACGAAACUUGCAUAAA